GGCAGCCUGACGCAGCGACGCCGCGUGGAGGAUGAAGGUCUUCGGAUUGUAAACUCCUGUCGAGCGGGACGAAUGCCGUGAGGGUGAACAACCCUCGCGGUUGACGGUACCGCUGGAGGAAGCCCCGGCUAACUCCGUGCCAGCAGCCGCGGUAAUACGGAGGGGGCUAGCGUUGUUCGGAAUCAUUGGGCGUAAAGGGCGCGUAGGCGGCCGAUCAAGUCGGAGGUGAAAUCCCUCGGCUCAACUGAGGAAUUGCCUUCGAUACUGUUCGGCUUGAGUCCUGGAGAGGGUAGUGGAAUUCCCGGUGUAGCGGUGAAAUGCGUAGAGACCGGGAAGAACACCAGUGGCGAAGGCGGCUACCUGGACAGGUACUGACGCUGAAGCGCGAAAGCUAGGGGAGCAAACAGGAUUAGAUACCCUGGUAGUCCUAGCUGUAAACGAUGGGCACUUGGUGUUGCGGGUAUCGACCCCUGCAGUGCCGAAGCUAACGCAUUAAGUGCCCCGCCUGGGGAG
rnacentral:rRNA from 1 species